GAAACCCGUGGAGGAAGGAACUUCGAACGGGUGCUCUUCCACCGAAACUCAAAGGACAUUCGCUCGAAUAAUUUUACUUCCUCCGUCGUAUGAAUUCGUACGAGUUCCCUCGAACCUUGUUACACACAAAAUUAGGAAAACGAAGUAUUGGAUCAUCCUGGCGAUUCCAUGUUCCUAACUUCUAUGGUUGACUUUGUGAUAAAUAGCCUGAACUUCGUCGUUGACAAGUGAGAUCGAUUUCAGUGCCAACGAAAUAUAUUGUCCGUGAAAGUAAUACUUUUGAUAAGAGCGUAAACUUGCUGAAUACAACAGAGUACGAACAUACCGAUGGAUGGAUCAAAGCAUGUUUGUUUAUAACAAGAAAUUUCUAAUCGACAUAUAAUGAUUUGGGUGAAAAAGAUUUCUCUCGCUGGCCAACUGGUCCCAGGUGUGUACACUGGGAGCGUGGCAGACGCGUGCUUCUCCCCUCUUUAACCUCAGCUGAACGCAGUUGCCUUUACAUGCUUUUUCAUUCUUUCUAUGUAUGUAUAUGUUAAUAUAUGUACUAUAAAAUAAUUUAAAAUAAAUAUCAUACAGCCUGGGAAAUUUCAUUUAUAUUUCAUGAGAAUUUGAAAUCUUUGUAGAAGAAACAGAUCCUGAAAGUUAUCUGAGAUACGAAAACGUUUAUUUCACAGACAAAUGCAACGUGGAUGGAACAAAUCAAAUUAAAGUACGAAGGAAAAAUAGCGUAUACUUAGUAUCUAUUAAACACAGAUAAACAUAGAUCUUUACGAUCCAAGUCGCUUUAAGGUUAAAUAGAAACGCAUAAAUCAAGGAAGAGACAAAAAGAGAAGGAAUUUACAGCUUUAUAAUGCAAAUUAAUAGCUCUUCCAAGCAUUGUUAUCGAAGAGAAUAAUGAGCCUUGUUUUAGACAAUUAAGGGAAGAAGAACGUAGAAACUGGCCACGUAAGAUUUGCAUUUGAGAAAGGUGGUAAUUAUUUGCAACGGAAUAACGCAAUUAUCAAAUUGACCCUCGCACCCUCACAUAAUUACUCGCGACUUCAGGAUUUAAGUGGAUAAUCAUUGGGAAUCGGCGAACUGUUCGUUGAACGUUGAAAUUUGGCAAGCGUCAGAAUGUGGGGCGCCAGGUCGUCAAUGCGUACCAUGUAAUUUAUGUUGAAUGUAUCUGUUGCUUUCAAAUCUUUACGUAUAUUUUAAUUACACCUAUACGUAAUUUCAAGACAAGUGUACAUUUUUCACUUUCAAGAUGUUAUUUAAUAUUAAUUGGUCGUUAUUAAAACAAAGUAUCGGAGAUUAAGGUUACCGAUGAGCGAAAAUUGACAGAGUUGGUGUAGUGGCAGCAACCUAACAGUAGGAGGAAAAUGAAAUUUUACUCUCAAUCAGAGAGCCACUCGAUCACACAGGAGGGUGCCAUAUUGUUACGUUCUAACCAUUCUCUCUUCUUCUUUAUUUCUUUUUUCUUCCAUAAUCUUUUCCUCUGGUUUGGAUCAACUGUUGUUUUACGAGGACUCUUUAGCCUCGGCAGACGGCCCAUUGUAUCGCUUAUUUCAAUGCGCAGAUUGUUUUCAAAAAGAAAGCACGAUUGUUUCAUCUUUUUCUUUUUUUUUUUUAGCUUCCUCCUCUUUGAUGUUCUGCUAUUUACCGAUAGUAGCGUAUCGAAUGUACGGCUAUUAAGAGUCUAUGAAAUUGUUAAUGAAAGUUUUAGGAAGGAAAUGCACGAAAUCCUAACUUUCAGCGAGAAUCGUGAGACACUUUGUUCUUUAACAUCUUGCGAGACAGUUGCGCGAUGGUCAUUUCUGAAAUUUUUUCAAUUUCUGCUGUUUGUCGUUUACGUUUCGAGAAAUUCUUCAACGAAAUGGUGGUACAAAUCGUUUUUCCCAGUCGUAAUACGAAUCACUGGGAUGGUUCGGGCCACCAUGAUUUCGAAGCUAUUUUCUACGUGGGUCGUUCGAGGCUUCUGGAAAUCAAUUUUUCCCCUCUGGCGCCAAUUAACCAGAAUUUUCUCAACUUCGACGUAGGUCCUUUGGUGCAUGGUAGUUUCAAUCUUUAACUUUGGGAAAGUUAAUCGCUCCUUCCGUUUUUCUUUUUCCUCGCUUCAGUUCAGCCAAUGUAAUUUGUCGAAUUCAUUCUCAUGUCCACAUGAUCUAUUAUCGUAUCAACGACGAAAAAACGCAUUAAAACAAUGCAUUUUCUCUUUAGUUAUUUCGUACUUGAAAUAUUUUUGAAAUAAAUGCUUCGUUUACUUUUAUUUUUCAUAUUAUCUUUUAUUUUCCAAAGUCUGCUUCAAUAGAUAUAGCAGAGUAAUGAUAUCAUAAAUCUUAAUGAAGCAAAGUUAUUAGUAGACACAUUCGUAGAAGCAUCGUGAAUUUAUCUGAAGUUUCUAAUUUGGCCUUCCAUUCAAUACGAUGGGAAGAAUAUAAUCGGCUUAUAUACAUUUAGUUGACUGAAUCCAGGAAAAUGUGCCUACUAUCUUUUUCUCUUUCUACCUAUUUAUCUCCUUUUGAACAAAUUGAUGCACAGUCGUCGCGACGAGACGAGAGUCGCACAAAAGCUUAAAAUCACGAUAGACCGUGGAUACCGGCUAGUUAGGAGAGUUUUGAUGAAUCCUAAUCUUGUGAAAUAUAUGCGUGAAUAACGAGCCACGACGGCCAUGGUGCGUUUGAAUUAAAACAUAUUAUCCUUGUCUAUCCUACCAACUAAUAUCUACUAAAUGGCGACUAAUACCAAUCCUAUUCAUUUGGAUAAUAUGCUUCAAUGUGACGUUUACUUUUAUAUACUAGAAUGUCAUAAUCUGACGCUAUCCACGCAGCUUCAUCAUCUUUUAAAUCUUUGUAAAACGAAAAAAUUCGUUUCUUUUUCCGUUCGAUUGUUCCUUCCAUGUUCUGUUUAACGUUAACUAAUUAGAUUAUAAUUGGAAUAUUUAUAUAACUUAACUUAAUUUAAUUUAACUUAAUUUAUAUAACUUAAACGCGAUCGUAGUAUAUGAUAUGAUAAAAAAUAAAAAAGCAAAAGUGUUGGUAGUUCGGUUUCAGCCGAAAGUCGUGGGAACCGUUUUGAUAGAAUAGGAGAACGGACGACGUAAGAAGGUAGGAGAAGGAAACGAAGAAUCUUGGUGGAAGAUACAAAAGGGAAAAGAGAAGAAAGGAAAGGAAGGUAAAGCCGAGCAAAGUUUGAACGAUGGGAUGAGAUCGUUGGUUCUGAUUCCAAGCAAAAAUUCGUGAUACAAUGCGAGCGUUUUCAUUCCAAAUAACGUAAAUUCAAUGUACAUUCUGUUUUAUUUACGAACUUCGAUUAACGACAUAUCGCGUUGUCUACUAACUACUUGUUCUCUACAACCUGCUUACUCGCAACGUUAAACAAAAUUAUAAUUACAAUAAAAUUACAGUUGUUUAUUCGGAGAAGCAUAGAAAUUUCAAAUAAUAAUCCUAAAAUUGUACAAUUAUAACGCUACAACAGAAUUCCUGUCCAAUUUACUAAAUAUUACGAUAUAAUUUUCGAUCGCGUCAAAUUAUAAAUAUUUUUAUAUCAACGUUCACUCUCCCUCUCCUUCAUAGUUAUUUUCAAUACUCGUAGAUACAUCGCUUGUCCAGAUACUUUUACUUGUUGCAUUUUAAAUACAGGAAACCGCUUAUGCAACGAUCGCAAUGUUCAAGAAAGGACGAAUACCGUGUACGUCUUUAGAUCUGUUGUGUUCUCGUCAUCAGCAAGACCUUUCGAUGCGCGAUAAUUGGAGUCCCGAGAGGAAAGUAUUCUUUCUCGUUCCUUGUCGGCUGUAGUUGUUCGUAGUAAUUUAGCAGGUAGCGGGACCGCACGUUUCUACGUGGCCAUGUUCACCCUCUGUCCUCGGCUCUCUCUUGGACGCCCUCCAACACCCUUUCUACCCAUUCCGCGUGUAUUUAAAAGCGUUUAAGGGUGCCCUCCAAUCUCAAGUGCUCUUCGCCGGAUACACAAUGGUUCUUGCGUAUUAUUUGUUGGUGAAAUAACAUGCUGUCAGUUAUGGGGGAUAUGCUAAAUAUAUAGGGUACGGCUAGAAAUUCGAAGGAGAAUCGAUCGAACUCGUCCUGGUGCUCGAGUGUUGUGCUUCGAGUCACGUUGAACCGGCGCGUUCACGUUUCAGAAGAUUUUUAUAUCGAACGAUUCUUUCAAGAGAAUCCGCAUCAACAUGGCUAUGGUUGCAUUUCGGGCACACGUAUUCAUGGAUCACAGAUUCGAAUUUUUCUCUUCCUCUUCGUCUUUAUUCUUAAGUUGUCAAUUUGUAUCGUCGAGAAGAUACGGAAGAUUCUGUCGAUCUUUCGAUUUCUUUAUUUUCUUUCCCGGUAUUUAACGAUAAAAUGAAUUCGAAGUAGCAAGGUAAGAAUUUUCCUCUUGGUAAAACGAAUUCGAUUUAUUUUUAUUUUAAUGAUUAUACGUAUUCUUCUAUUUUAGCGAUUUGCAAUUUAUUCAUUUGUAUACUUUUGCUGCACAAGCUAUGGCAGGUACGUAUAUGGAUGUCUAAACGGCUGAUCAAACGCCGAUCAAGAAUUUCAGAGUUAUAAAUUUACUCUUGCUCAAGGUUAAUCAGUCUUCCGAAAACAAACAGUUCCGCCUCUUCGUUAAUUCGUGUAUGCUCUCGAAACGAUAAUCAAAUAACGCCGAAUCGAUCGGACACAGGAUACACGUAAUUAAAGAGUAUGUAAUUAUGGACUUUAUCGAAGACGAGCGGUAUUAAGUUAUUAGUUAUUAAUUGCUUUAUUAGAUUAAGCGACCGAAGAUGCGUCGAGAGGCGGAGAAUCGGUGGUAUAAAUUCGCCGUAAUCGUUUCCUUCCUCCGCCUUUAAAUCGAUUAAUAGUACAAAUAGAAACAAUAAAUCAUAUUUUAGUAGAAUACCAAUUAAUUCCUAUAGAUUGAAAUAAACUUUACUAUAACAAAAAAAAUAUAUGUACAUAUAUAACAAUUUAAGUUUACAGCUAUAAGCUCAACUAAAUAAUUUUUAUUUUGAGAAUUUUUACGACGAGUUUAGUUGUCUAAAGUAUCGUUAAUUCGGUAAAAAAUCCGUAUAACUAAGUUCACUCGAGCAAGCUUUUGAAUUACGAAUGACUUAAUCUUUAAUACUUUAACUGACAGCCAAAAUAUACGCAGUUAGUUACUAUUACCGACCUUUUUCUUGUUUUAUACAAUUUCCGUACGCAAUAAGAGGGAACCGUAUCUUGUUAAAGUCCAAUCCAGUUAACAUUACGGCCUGGUCUGCUAUCAUCAGAUUACAAUGUAAAGAUACUAAAGGUGGUAAAACGCUGACAGGGUCACGAAACGUGUAUUGUGAAUUCCUUUAGAGUCGUAACGAGUUGCAAGCGUGGGCGGACGUAAGUGCGAGACACGCUUCACCUUCUACUCUGACGGGAUAAUUUUCUCUUCUGGCUUAUCCCUUCUUCACCGUCCAUAUCAUUCGUUCAUCCUUCCAGAGGCAUCGUAUAAAAGUAGGUAGUCUGAUUGCCUAAACCGACGUUUUAUUUUUACUACAACUCCGAUUCGUUUCUCUCGGCGAUAAUAACGAUAGAACGCCGAUCAUGUGCGUGAACAAUUAUUUAUCGCGUUUCUGUCUAUCGGCCAGCGUCAAAUUGUGUCGAAUCUUUCACGGAAUUCUUCCGUUUCCUUUCAAUAUCUUCGAAACGUGCAUUUAUUUUAGAAAUUAUAAAUGCAAGCAAGAUCGUCGAAUAAACGUUACGUCUCUGUUGUUACCAACACCAAAAUGUUAUUUGAUUUGUGGCCGAGAAAGAGUCGUUCGUCUGUAAUAAGCGUACCGCCUCUUCCUCAAUAUAUUUGUCUUGAUGGCUCAAUGCGCACGUGACCGCUCGAGAGCGGCAUGACUUUACAAUACGACCCUCGAAACGGUUAUAGCUGUACCAGCGAUGAGAACGUAAAAGGCUGUAAAAACAUUCUGGUAACCGGUAGAAUAAUUCGAAAAGCAGAAUGAACGACGAUCGCGUAAAAUUAAGCGUCCCGUUUUACUUCGUUACACGCCUCUUGUCCACCAACGUUGGCUUUCAGGCGCAACAAGCGAACGCGUUCGAUGUUGAAAAAAUUCCGGAAACAACUUUCAGUUCUGCACUUUUGUUUCAUUUUAUAGAAAAAGAAGUUACGAAAGAGAAACUAUUUUUUUCUGUCUUCUUUCCUAUGAUUUCACUUUUCUUUUCUUUUCCUUCGAUAAAAAGCGCAUAGCUGGUAUCGGACACUUGCGGGACGCUUGCGAGGCGUGUAAUUCUUUCGUGUUACACGCAGACGAUUUCACCGCAGUCAUCCGCUCCUCGUCCGUGUGUCGUUUUAGUAAGUAGCGGUAAGCUUGUCGGUCUGAGAUCGUCCGAAGAUAGGAUCAAAAGAGGUGAGAGGACCACCCGGUCUAUUUAGAAUAUGAAGAACCAUGACAUUGGUGUCAGAUGUCUCAUGGAGAAUGUUGACACCUGUAAGCGCUGUUGGAACAUUGGAAUCAGUGGCAGGUUGUAAUAGCAGCUUGAACACGACUGUUGAUACAAUACGUUCGAUAUUUACCACUUUCCACAUUUACCAUUUUUCCACUUUUUCGUUUAAUCGCAUAGGAAUUACAUUUUACGACAAUUUUUAUUAUUAUUACAAUUUAAUACACGUAAAAAAAAAAAAAAAAUAACGGAGCUAGAAAUUCUUAAUGGUUCAAAAAAUGGUUCUAGAUGCAGAUAAGGCAUCGUUAAAAAUUAGUGGAAAUCGUUAUCGUCUCCAGAAAUUAAUCAGUGAGAAAGAUCGUUCGAAAUGGCGUUAUAAAUAAAUCGGCCUAUUAGAAUCGCGUGGAACUUCGUACGAAGACGAUAACAAUCGCUACGAGCUUUCGAGGAUAUGCUUUCCGUGAAUAGAGCAGAAACUUACUAAUGAAGAAGGAGCAAAAGUACAACUAAGGCGAAGCUUAGUAAAUCUUAUCGCGAACCGUCAUCCUCUCAUUGACUAUGCAUUCCCAGAGGAAGGCCGUGAAUUUUGCCUCGGUGUGUUUCAGCUAACUGGAAUAUCUCACUAGAAGAGGUUCUCGAUACAUCGAAAUCGAAUCGAUCCGCUUUUGAUCUUCGAAUUAUCGUGGUGGACGAAUGAUAGCGUGAUUUGGCAUAAUCACGAGCAUUAGUAGUGAAAAUAUAGUUGCACCUAUUACAAGGAUUUGCAGGUAAAGGGUAGUGAGAAGGUGGGCCAACAGGGCAGGGUGAAUAAGGCGCUCGAGCCUACGCGGGUCGCUUUUUCGAGGGAGGACGAGCCAUAUGGGGAGCAUACGGUAAGCAGGCUGCUGCACCCGCUGCCUCGAGGGUUUAAUCUACCUACCGUCCGCCAAAUUACCAUCCGAGGAAAUCGUGUAUCCUCGAAAGAUCGCUGUGACGACGUUUCCGUUAUUACUGACUUUACUGCAUAAGAAUAGGUAUCACGAGGCCCAUUAGUUUAGUAAAAGAACACUCGACUUUAUUUCUACUUAUCGAUACGCUAUAUGUCCAUUCGUGGAUUUAAAAUUUGUUUACAGGUGAAAUAAAGUCCGGUCCGUUCUUGUAAAAUACGGCAAAACAUAAGAAAUACCGCGUUUCGUCGUUGUUGUUGUCUUUAUAUUAUGGCUCCGUGUAAAGACUUGGCUUUUUUAAUUUAAUUCUUUCGGUUUUCGUCGAAGAAAAGCAGACACUGUCUAGUAGACAUUCCCGGGUUUUGUCUCUCGCUUGCCAACUGUCCCAGGUGUACGUGUCUGAGGAUGAAGGCAAAAGGCCCAAGAAGACUCGAGGCGUGUGGCUGGCGCGUGCUGCUAGUCCCCGAUUCCGUUUCCCCGCCCUUAAGUUGCUUCCGAUCGUUGUCUGCCAUAAUCAGCAUCACCACUGCUGCCGCCACCACCACCUCAACAGCUACGGUCACGCUUUUUAAAUACGCGAAGCGAGCUUUCAUGCCUUCAUACCCACGGAAAUCGUAUCGUAUUUCCUCCCUUUUUUUCUUAUUUCGUUCUUAUUUUCUUCGUUCUCCAAGCCUUAUUAUUCGUCAUAAUCACAAUUCCCCGAUUAUUUCGUUCGUAAAAUCUAUUAAACAAUUUUUUUUGGUUUUAUAUCGAAGAUGUUUCGAUCGAAUGCUUAUAUUCUACACGUCGAUAUUCGUUGACAUAUUUCUCGGAAUAUUAGUUUGAUAGAUUUUAUGGGGAAAGUGAAUGGAAUAAACCGAUGGUAAGAAAAAUAGAAUCGUCGUUGAUUGCUUUGACGAAACUGUUUAUGAAUAACAGAAGUGGAAAUUUGUGUUAUUCAUGCUCGAACAUUAUUAUGGAAAUUUGAAAUGUAAGUUGUUUGUUCCUUUCGGCGGUAAAUUUGCAUAAACACGGUGAUUUUCGAACCAACCAGAAGAUGAUAUAACGCUAAUUUGCAACUUUUAACUAUUCACUUUUCACCGUCACGAAUAUUUUUCUCCUCUAAGCUAUUCUAUCCGAAAUACCUUAUUUAACGUAAAAUUCGUUAUCGUCGCGAAUUAAUUAAAAAUAUCCCGAUACACGUAACUACUGUAGUAACAUCUAUCGAUAUAAUAAUAUUCGUAUGGAAAGGUAAAGCCUUUUGUCAAUUUUCAAAAACAGACCUGCCAUUGUGAAACGUUGUUAGGUAAAAUGGAUUUCUUAAAAUAUUGAGGGAAAAAAGAAAAUAGGAGGAAUAGACGGUGAAGAAAAGAGAAGAAAGGUACACGUUUUAAGUACUAAUUUGUAACAUUCUGAAAGUUUGCAAGAAUGAAUUGUAUGGCACGCGAGGCUAUACGCCAACGUUUUUUUCCAUCUGACACGGUAGAUUAUUGGCAAGAGCGGCUUCUUUGAUAAUACCUAAGGCGCGUUAGCAUUUCUAUGGCGUUGAAUUGCUUUGGUCCGUUUUACUGAAGCGCCAAAAAUCGUUGGUAUCGCGUCACCAUUGUGUUACGUUUGUUGGACACGUUGGCCUGUUUAACCAUUUAUCUCGUCAUUGACGUUAAUCAGAGCGAUUUCGGCUUCGGCAGAGAUCUUUUGCCAAGGAUCCAUAUAAUUUGGUUUGUCACGCUUAUACGUAGUAUGAUCGAUGCACGUGUACAUGUGAACAGAGUAUCUUAUAUUCCUAUUUAGUGAUAUAAAUAUACCGAGAUAUUAUUCUAAUUAAUUUCCUAAUAAUCUGUUCGAUAACGAAUUUAUCCUAGUCACUCGCCUUGCUUCUUUUCUUCAUCGACGUUUUCCAAAUUUUUAAUACAUUUUUAAUCGCCGAUUCUUCCUUGCUACUUAAUCUUCUACUAAAAACCGUGACUGCCCUUCGGUAUAAUUAUUAAGUAUUCUCCAAAACCUGGAAACCAGGUUACCCAUCGCAACGAUUUUAAUCUAAAAACGAGGGUUUUAUGGGCUCAGAUGAAGCUGGGCAUAGAUAUAUGCUACGGAAAUAGAUACCAUGAAAUCCCAUAGGAUCCAAAUAGCGUUCCCUUUGCGUUUUAUCUACGUUUAGGGAUAAAAUCCGUUUUUAGGGAAGGAAAUUUGACAAACAGUCGAAGGGGCGGUAACGUGAAAAUAUAUUUUUCUAUAAACUAUUGUUUCUUUCGAAUGGUCCGAUCUGGUUCACCCGUGCGAUAGCGGGCAUUCUAUUGUAAUUCUAUAGUAAUAUGCUGAUAUUGUUUAGAGUAAUUUUCUUAAUAUAUUAUUCCGAUCGUAUCGAUAGAAUAUAUUUUAAUAAUGUUAUUGAAAUCUAUGUAAAUUUCAGUCUAUCGUAAUUUCAUAAUUUUCAUACUGGACAAAAUUAUAUAUAAUAAAAGAUUAAGUAAUUAAAAUUGAUCGUAACACACUUUACUGCUAUUAUGCGAAUCUAACGUAACAUAAAUACGAUAAUCUUAGGUAGUAAACGGUGCAUUCCAUUCAUCUCGUAUCGAAUCUUUGAAAACUACUGUAAAGUAAUGUUUUUAUAUUCAGGACCACACAGGUAGCCGAAGCAUAUUAACUUCUGCAUGCAGAUUCUACCAACAAUCAAUGGUAACGCUAUAUUCAAUUUUUAUACUGAAUAUUAAGCAGCAUCGUAUCAUGUUACCGGUAACUGGUUCAAUCCUUGUCCGAAUUUUAUAUUCUCACGAUCAAAGCUAGCAAAGACAAUUACGAUGUUCUUAAUCAUAUUUAUCAAUUUGAAAUUAUCGACCAUAUUCGAAUUUACAAUGUCGAUUUCUAUAUAUUACUAUAUCGUUUAAACAUAUAGACAUAAGGUUCUCGUCUAUAUGUAAUAUGUAUAGUCUUUGCUCCACUACUCUGUAUUUUCUUUUUCUUUCUUCUUCUUUUUUUUUCGUUCAGAGAUUCAACGGAGUUCAGGUAUCCGGCGCGUAGAAAAAUUUUAACGCGUUUACGACUGGCCGUCACGGCGGAAAAUCCUUUGAAACAUCGACUGUCGUAAUUACGAGCGACUUAUAACAGUGUGGUAACCCCUUCAUUUGUGAACUAUGAUAAACUGUUGCUCAUCUACGGUUCCGAGAUUUGCCUCCAUGAUUUAUGCUAAUACAAUGGACCUACCUCAAAGUAUCUUCUACUAAACGCUCUAUUAGGCUUAAGUUAAUUACGAGACUACCUUCUUGUGGGUUGGCUCGACGCGAUCGUUACCAUAUUACGGUACAUAUAUUACGUCCUUAACGAUGCCAACCGCUUUUGCAUUAAAUUUGGACAAGCGACGAUCACAAAAAGCAUAGGAGAUUUUUUUUUGUUACUGUCAACGCGUUUAUAUCUGUCGAGGUUGACUGAUAGAGGAACGAGUGGAUGAAUUUGUAAUAGAAAAAUAUAUUGAAAUAAGUAUAAGUACAGGUAUAGCGCAUGCUGAUCUAGAUUUUCACUUUUUCAA